rnacentral:rRNA from 1 species
UGGGCGUAAGCGCACGCAGGCGGUCUGUCAAGUCGGAUGUGAAAUCCCCGGGCUCAACCUGGGAACUGCAUUCGAAACUGGCAGGCUAGAGUCUUGUAGAGGGGGGUAGAAUUCCAGGUGUAGCGGUGAAAUGCGUAGAGAUCUGGAGGAAUACCGGUGGCGAAGGCGGCCCCCUGGACAAAGACUGACGCUCAGGUGCGAAAGCGUGGGGAGCAAACAGGAUUAGAUACCCUGGUAGUCCACGCCGUAAACGAUGUCGACUUGGAGGUUGUGCCCUUGAGGCGUGGCUUCCGGAGCUAACGCGUUAAGUCGACCGCCUGGGGAGUACGGCCGCAAGGUUAAAACUCAAAUGAAUUGACGGGGGCCCGCACAAGCGGUGGAGCAUGUGGUUUAAUUCGAUGCAACGCGAAGAACCUUACCUACUCUUGACAUCCAGAGAACUUUGCAGAGAUGGAUUGGUGCCUUCGGGAACUCUGAGACAGGUGCUGCAUGGCUGUCGUCAGCUCGUGUUGUGCAAUGUUGGGUUAAGUCCCGCAACGAGCGCAACCCUUAUCCUUUGUUGCCAGCGGUUAGGCCGGGAACUCAAAGGAGACUGCCAGUGAUAAACUGGAG